GAUGAAGAACGCAGCGAAAUGCGAUACGUAAUGUGAAUUGCAGAAUUCAGUGAAUCAUCGAAUCUUUGAACGCAUAUUGCGCUCUUUGGUAUUCCGAAGAGCAUGCUUGUUUGAGUAUCAGUAAACACCUCAACCUCUUCUUGAUUUUUCAAAAGGAGGGUGGACUUGAGCUAUCCCAACAACCUUUACCGGUCGGCGGGCGGCUUGAAAUGCAGGUGCAGCUGGACUUUUAUCUGAGCUAAAAGCAUAUCUAUUUAGUCCUCGUCAAACAGGAUUAUUACUUUUGCUGCAGCUAACAUAAAGGAUAAUUGUCCUCUUUGCUGUCUGAUGCAGGAUUUUACGACACUUUAUGUGUUGUUCAACUCGAUCUCAAAUCAAGUAAGACUACCCGCUGAACUUAAGCAUAUCAAUAAGCGGAGGA
rnacentral:misc_RNA from 1 species